rnacentral:lncRNA from 1 species
CUUAAAACAUUAUGCUAAGUGGAAUAAGCUAGACACAAAAGGACAAAUAUCGUAUCAUUCCAUUUAUAUGAGGUAUCUAGAUUUGGCAAAUUCACAGAGAUGGAAAGUAGAAUGGUGGUUGCCAGAGGCUGGAAAGAGAGGGAAAUGGGGAGUGAGUGUUUAAUGGGCCCAGAGUUUCUGACUGGGAUAAUGAAAAAGUUCUGAGGCCAGGCAUGGAGGCUCACGCCUGUAAUCUCAAUACUUUGGGAUACCAAGGCGGGUGGAUCACCUGAGGUAAGGAGUUACGAGACCAGCCUGGCCAACAUGGUGAAACCUCGUCUCUACUAAAAAUACAAAAAUUAUUCAGGCAUGGUGGCAGACGCCCAUAAUCCCAGCUGCUCAGGAAGUUGAAGCUGGAGAAUCGUUUGAACCCAGGAGGCAGAGGUUGCGGCGAGCCGAGAUUGCACCACUGCACUGCAGCCUGGGCGACAGAGUGAGACACCAUCUCAACAACAACAAAAAGUUCUGGAGGAUCACCUUGGAAUCAUGGAAUAUAAAUUAGAGAAGAACAGGAGAGCUUGACCAAUAUGGAAGAAAUGGCAGCAAAACAGGCAGGAAAUUACACAAUUCUGAAGAAAAGCAGUAUGAGCAGAAUUGAAAUAAAAGGUAAGGUUCAAUACGUUUAGAAGAUACAAUUGAGUAGGUUUGGUGGCUAAUUGUAAGUGAGACAUGAAGUAAAUGGAAGAAUUUCUAAUGAUUCAAAAUUUUCUAAAUAGUUGCCAAAAAUAAAUUGGGUGAGCAUCUUUGGGACAUAUUGAGAUCUUUGACAUAUUGAGAUUAAUGGACAUAUUAAUGUUCAAAAGGAGACAUACAAAAAGAUACAUUGUCUGUCAUCAAAGGCAAGAUUGAGAUAGAUAUUUGGGAAUUGUGGCCCAUGGGUAGAAUUGAAAAUUAUGGAUGAGAUUUUCUCUAGAAGAGUGAGUUUUUAUUUUUUAUUUUAUUAUUAUUAUUUUUUUUAGACAGUCUCACUCUGUCACCCAGGCUGGAGUGCAGUGGUGGGAUCUUGGCUCACUGCAAACUCUGCCUCCUGGGUUCAAGCAAUUCUCAUGUCUCAGUCUCCCGAGUAGGUGGCAGUAGCACGCGCCACCUUGCCCAGCUAAUUUUGUGUGUGUGUGUGUGUGUAUUUUUAGUAGAGACAGUGUUUCACUGAGUUAGCCAGGCUAGUCUUCUGGACUCAAGUGAUCCACCCACCUCAACCUCCCAAAGUGCUGGGAUUACAGACGUGAGCCACUGGGCCUGGCCAAACAGUGCAUCUUUAAAUGUGAUCCUGAGACCUCCAGUUGACCCACAGUGGUUUGCAGAGAGUGUCUGUAUGAAAGGAAAAAAUAGAAUAAAACUCUAUUCACACACAUCUCACAAAAUUGAGUAUAAGAUUAUUCAUUAUUAAAAACUUUUUUAAAAAGCUCGUCAUUAUUCUCGCAGAAAUCCAAUUACAUGUUUAAUGAGUGUUGGUUUGCAUGCUCUGUAAAAACUGCAUUGGUAAGUUUAUCUUGGAAAAUAUUUUAUGUUAUUUUUUACAUCUAUGAUUUUGCAUUUUAAUUAAUACUAUUGUACUUUAUCCCCAAGUCACAAAAAUGGACCAACAGUGACCCACUGAAGCAUAAAAGAUGGGAACAAACACUACAAUGCCAAAUAAUUUAAUUUUAAAAAGAUAAAUAGUAUAGCCCUCCAGUGAAAUGUAGAGUGGGGUGGUUUUACACAAGGACCUGAGAAAGAAAAAUGCAAAUGGGAACUGCCAUUAUGAAUAUCUGAGUAUUGCAUUAUGUGGUGGUGUCCGUUUACACCAUCCUUGUCAAAUAGUGAAGUUUUGUCAAAUGAUAACAUGAAGUAUAUAUGCCUUUGCUCCAUUUUCAAAGAAAGCCCAGUUUCAAUCAAGUAAACCAAUUUAAUUUUUCUAGAACAAGCAAAUAUACUAUUUUCUAGUAUAAAGCUGAUUAAUUGUAUCACUUAAACCAAAACUAUAGAGGCAUCCUUCAACAUUGUACAUUUCACAGCCAAAACAGGCAAAAGUCACACUGUUGCUAACAAGCUGAUAAAAUCAGCCACAAAAGUGAAUACUAUGUAUUUUGCUCAGCUGAUAAAACCAGCCACAAAAGUGAAUACUAUCUAUUUUGCUUAGCAACAAAACAGAUUAAGUUUUGGCAAAAAUCUUUUAGCAAAUGACUCUAGUGAAUGUUGCCCAAUAUAAAUAGCCUGCAAAGUUAAAGAGCAAUCACUGUCUUUGGGGAAAUGACCAGGUGGGAUAUUCAAAAUAUUUAACAACUGAUAAGGCAUAGAGAGCAACCAAUCAUAACAGAUGCCAACUGCAAGCAAAUGGUAUAGGACUACUGGUAUGUGUUAGCUUGCCUAUCAGCAGAUAUUUUGCUUUACAACUGUGUAGAGUAUGAAUAAUUUCUUGGCAAUUGCCUAAUACAUAUAUGAAGUGCUUGACAAUGUUUUUUGUUUAUCAUUAAAAGUCUUAGUGUUCGAUUUAGGGGAAUUUUUGACCCAAAGUUAAUCCAGAUGCUCUUCUCUUUGACAGCUGUAAUUAAUCAAUAGCUAGGUGAAAGGUUCAGAACUUUAAGAGACAGACAUUGGCCAAACGGUUUUUCAAAGUACUCUUUAGUUUCUAUUUCAAUAAUUGUAAGGUUAAUUUGUUUUUGCUUUUGCUUUUGUUUUUGUUUUGUUUUAGAGACAGGAUCUCACUCUGUCACCUAGACUGGAGUGCAGUGGCAUAAUCACAGCUUACUGCAGCCUUAAGCUACUGGACUUAAGCUGUCCUUCCACCUCAGCCUCUCAAGUAGCUGUAACUACAAGUGCACUCCACCAGGACUGUCUAAUUUUUUUUUUUUUUUUUUUUUUUUUUUUUCAGUAGAGACAGGGUCUCACUAUGUUGCUUAGGCUGUUCUCAAACUCUUGAGCUCAAGUGAUCCUCCUGCCAUCCUGUCUUGGCCUCCUAAAGUGCUGGGAUUACAGAUGCGAGUCACCAUGCUGACCAAUUUUAAAUUAUUAAUCAGCUAUUAUCCACCCUAGUUUCUCAGCUGCCUGCUAUGGUGUCCCCAGUAGAAAACUCUGUUUCUACACUCACACAACCCUUCUGACACCAAAUGUGUGGGCAUUUUGCACACCAAGAAGCUAUCUGAUUCUGUUCAGAUACCAACUAGGUGUCCAACAAUCCAGUUCAGUUCUGACACUAACUACUUAGGAUGUGAUGUUCCAUUGGUUUUAGGGCUCAGACCCACAAGAUUGCCCUAACUUCAGAGGCCAGUUCCGAGUAUCAGGUUUCUCAUAGCAUACUUCUGACUUACACAAUGUAUAAAUUGAGGCUCCCAGGACCCCCUCCUCGGGUUCAGUAAUUUGUUAGAAUGGCUCACACACGCAGAACUCACGAAGCCAUGUUAUUUAUUUAUGUUUACUGGUUUAUUAUAAAGCAUACAAAUGAACAGCCAGAUGAAGAGGUAUAUAAGGCCAUGUCAGGAAGGGUCCCUAGUGCAGAAACUUCUGUUCCUGUGGAGUUAGGGUAUGCUAACUUCCAGCAGGUGGAUGCAUUCACCAAUCCAGAAAUCUCACUGUUCAGGAGUUUUUAUGGGGCUUAAUCUCUAGCCCCCAUCCCCAACUUUGCAGAGUUGGGGGAGGGUGGAAGCUGAAAGUUCCAAGCCUCUAAUCAUUUGGUUUCUAGUGACUAGACCUGUCCUGAGACUAUCGAGGGUCUUCAUCCUAAGUCAUUUCAUUAGCAUGAACUCAGGUGAGAUCAAAGGGAGUUUAUUAUGAAUAAUGAAAAACUCCUACCACUAAGCAAAUUCCAAGGGUUUUAGUGCCUGGA